UACAGAGGUCUCAAGCGUUGUUCGGAUUCAUUGGGCGUAAAGGGUGCGUAGGCGGUGUGGCAAGUCGGGAGUGAAAUCUCUGGGCUCAACCCAGAGUCUGCUUCCGAAACUGCUGUGCUUGAGUGUGGGAGAGGCGCGUGGAAUUGCAGGUGUAGCGGUGAAAUGCGUAGAUAUCUGCAGGAACACCCGUGGCGAAAGCGGCGCGUGGACCACUACUGACGUGAGGCACGAAGGCCAGGGGGAGCAAAACGGGG
rnacentral:rRNA from 1 species